rnacentral:lncRNA from 1 species
CCCUACUCCCAAAAUUUUCAAAACCCUCAGAAUUUUCAAACCCCACAAAAUAUUCAUCCCUACCGUCCCUCGACUCAAUUUCAACACACUCCUCCUCCACCCCAUAGAAACACAGCCUUUGAGGAGAAAGUGUUGACCGCCCUUCAAGGUUUGGAAACCAUUACACAAUUAGUGCACUCUCACACGCAAUCCAUCGCCAAGCUAGAAUCCCAAAUGGGGCAACUAGCUAAUGCACUGAACAAGCGAGAGGAAGGAAAGCUUCCAAGCCAACCACUAAGUAAUCCUAGGGGACAAU